GGGAGGAAUUUGGUUUAUGACGUGUUACUUGCUUAAGAAAUUGUAUUUGGUUAUGAGUGAAAGCAUUUAUCUUUUAGGUGUGCCUUAAAGAUUGAUCUUAGGAAGGUUUUCGAUUCUCUCGAUUGGAACUUCAUUUUGCAGGUAAACAUGGUGUCUUCAAAUUUCAUCCUAAAUGCAAACGAAUUCAGUUAACUCAAUUGUGUUUUGUUGAUGACCUUUUGAUCUUUACCAAAGGGACAGUGGAAUCAAUUGUUGCUAUAAAAGAAAUUCUUGAUUAUUUCUACUAUGUUUUUGGUUUGCAAGUUAAUAGAUCCAAGAGUGAGAUGUUCAAUCAGGGAUGAGUCAACUUGAUCUUCAACGAAUUAUGGAGCUAAUUAGUUACAAGCUCAGAUCCUUACGGGUUACAUAUUUCGGGGUUCCCUUACUGGCUAGAAAUUUGAAAGAAAAUGACUGCAAAAUUCUCAUUGAUAAGAUUACUAUUAGAAUGCAAAGUUGGACUUCAAAAUAUCUUUCUUUUGCAGGGAGGUUGCUGUUGGAUCUAGUGCCUUAAAUGUAAUAUUUUCGUUAAUAUAUACUUGUAAUUUUUUCGAAUAGAUUGGUUAAUAAAACAAAUUCAUUGAUUACAUUAA